rnacentral:lncRNA from 1 species
GUGGGACUUCAGCUACAAACUUAUUUGAGAUGGCAGGUUCUGCCACAAUUUUGAUUUCUCAGAAGGUCAUUAACCCUCUCUGAGAUUUGUGAUAAUGAAGCCCUUUGUGGGAUUAGCAGGGCUAUUCCUCUUAUUUUCUCAAAUGAAGCUUCAAGAAUUUCCAAUGACUGUGGAAUGUAGUCUUCUCAUGUUCCGGGUGUCAGUGAAAAAAAAUAUAUUUGGUGCUGCCAAUCUUGUGACUGCUGAAGAACUGAUGCUUGGGACAGGUUGUCAAGUUAAUGGAGAGAAGCCAAAUAUAUUUGAGCUACACUACAGUGUGUCAGAGUGUGGGAUUCAGAUUAAGACUUUUGAAACACAUGCGGUCUAUAAAGUUAGUCUCCAUUAUACCCCAAAGAAUCCCACUUUUGGUCUUGUGACACGUGAAUUCUCCUUGGCCUGCACAGUGUUCAAGCUGCAAUAUUUCCCGAAGACAGAGAAUCCUGAUCUUUUUGGACCAGACAAAGAAGACCAAGAACCUAUUGACAUAAGAAACCAGGCUAGUGUUCCUGACCCCUCCUGUUGGAGACAAGCACUCCGUGAGAUCCCAUGGAGCAAAGCAUAAAGUCUCUGUAGAACAGGAGACUCAAUCUUGGAACCGGUUCUCUUUCCCAUCUUGUCUCUGAGUUCUGCAGUUUGUCACCUUCUUUGCCCUGGAGAUAUUGGGCUAUCUUGCAUCUUGAGAUAUUACCAAGGAGGUAGCUAAAGGACAGCCAAUGCGAAACAAGUGUAUCAUCCUCGCCACUCUGGUUCCAAACUUUGGGAAGCUGGCAUUGUUUAAACUUGCCUUGGUGAGCCUCUCAGGAUGUUUUUAACAUUCAUUUUAAAGAAAUAAACCUUUCCAGUACUGCCCUUAUUUUGUAAUC